rnacentral:lncRNA from 14 species
GUGCUCUUGAGACAAAGCAAACUCUCCCUGCACGGACACAUCAUCCAGUUCUAUAUGCAGGGUUGCAAGGGGAAGAGGUAAAACUGCUCAUCAGCCUUCACUUCUAUUUUUUUUAAUGCAGGUAACUCACCAUUGGGUAUCAAGACUGCUGAAAUACUGGUUGCAGAAGCAGCUAUGGAAAUAGCUGUGUCCAGCUUACAAGUGUUGUCCUUCCUUCCCUCCGCCCUUCUGUUUUCAAUUCACGUGACUGGACUUUGUAUCCAUUUGUCAACAAUCAGUGUAGAGCCAUCUUGCUUGAAAACCAGAGACAGAAACAGAAACAAUCCCGUACUGCAAGGGUGCUCUCUGGGUGGAUUUUAG